rnacentral:misc_RNA from 1 species
CGGAAAGCAGCCAAGAGUUUGCAGGAAGAUCUGUUUGAUCAAUUAGAUGAUGAGCCACUUGACUUACUUGACCAGAAGAAGACCAGGUCAGCUCUUAGAGCAUCUGGCAAUCUCAAGAGGAAGUCUGAAUCAGAAGAUGAAGCAGAAAUAGAUUCUGAAGGCCGUUUGAUUAUUCACGAUGGAGAUAAGAAGCAAAAAAGAGUUAAGCCAGCUUCUGAUGAUUUAGAUGUAAGAAGCAAAGCAGGGAGUCGCUUUUCAGAGAGCUCAAGGAAGACUCAGAAACGGAGGAGAACAUCUGAAUCAGGAUGGGCUUACACUGGAACAGAGUAUGCGAGCAAGAAGGCAGGUGGUGAUGUCAAGAAGAAAGACAGACUUGAGCCGUAUGCCUACUGGCCCCUUGACCGCAAGAUGAUGAGCCGGAGGCCUGAACAUCGGGCAGCAGCACGAAAAGGAAUGUCAAGCAUUGUGAAGCUAACAAAGAAGCUUGAAGGCAAGAGUGCAUCAUCUGUGCUGUCCGUGAAGAGAUCUAAGACUAAAAAGAAAAAUAGAUCAUAAAUAGAGGAUGAAGUCGAAGUCUGAUUUGAUGAUACUACGUCAUGAGGGAGAGCUCUGUCCAGAGGCUUGGUAGUUUUUGUGCCAUAGUUUGUAGUUGGGGAUUCUGGAUAUCCAGUACACCCAUGUUUUCUUUCGUGUCCUUUUUCAUUUAAUUCAUCCAUAUAUAUCACCUUCAACAGGUGAUUUGUUUUUUUUGAUAGGGUUGUAUGUAGGAAAUAGAGUGUACGUAUGCAAAUGCAUUCAAUACAAGCUACUUGAAUUGGUGAGUUAUUGGUAAUAUAUAACAUUAUUGCAAUAUGCAAUGACUUAAAAGUAUAUCCGAGUCUUCUGUAUUAUACCAGUAAAUUUUUUGAUUGUAUUUGAUAUUUUGCAGUUUCAAUCAAG